UCCCAAGAAAAGGGCAGUCUCGCCUGACACAUGUAACAGACGAUAGGGGUUGCGUUCGUUACCCCACUUAAGGGAACAAUUCAAAUCACGAACUGACGACGGCCAUGCAGCACCUGUCUAACUGCCCGAAGGCCCCAUCCGUUUCCGGUUGGGUUCAGCUAGAUGUCUAGCCUUGGUAAGGUUCUUCGCUUAUCAUCGAAUUAAGCCGCACGCUCCACCGCUUGUGCGAGUCCCCGUCUAUUCCUUUGAGUUUUAAGCUUGCGCUCGUACUACCCAGGCGGAUCGCUUAACGCGUUAGCUUCGCCUCGGAGAGGGUCGAUACUCCCCAAGGCUAGCGAUCAACGUUUAGGGCAUGGACUAC
rnacentral:misc_RNA from 1 species